UACGAGGGGGGCAAGCGUUGUUCGGAAUUAUUGGGCGUAAAGGGCGCGUAGGCGGCGCCACAAGUCACUUGUGAAAACUCUGGGCUCAACUCAGAGCCUGCAAGCGAAACUGUGGUGCUGGAGUAUGGGAGAGGUGCGUGGAAUUCCCGGUGUAGCGGUGAAAUUCGUAGAUAUUGGGAAGAACACCGGUGGCGAAGGCGGCCAUCUGGACCGGUUCUGACGCUGAGGCGCGAAAGCGUGGGGAGCAAACAGG
rnacentral:rRNA from 1 species